UAAGCAUUUACUUUUCCAUUAGAAAAGGAGGCAAGAAGACAAGGUAACUUGAUAUAUAAAUGUGCACUGUGACCAGGGUGGUAACUGGGCAAGGCCUGUAGGGCUGAAAAGCUUACAUUUGGCACCGCACAAGUGAAUACAGAUUUAAUUUAAUGGGAUUGUGAGAAGGGGGAAGUAUGAAAAUCAGCAGAAGGGAAGGACACAUAAAUGCUCUUAAACAGGAGAGGAAAAUGAAGCUAGCAAAAUAAUCUACUAAAGCCUGAGGGUCAAACAAGCACAAGACAUCAACACGAGAACAGAUUUGUGCUUCUGGCCCCAAGCCAGCCAGCAAAUGAAUUUCUAAUGGCAGCGAAAUCUUUUCAUUCCAUGCAAGGUAGGAUCCUUGGCUACAUUAAUCAUCAACAGUGUCUUCACAGCAAAUCCAUGGUCCUGUAAAAUAACUAGAGCUGAACCGAGCACCUAGACCUCUUGGCAAGAAAAAAAAUCAAAUGGCGCAAUAUCACAGCAAGUGGAAAUGGAGAUGGAGAAUGUCAGCAAUAACAUACCGGGGGGAGACAAGGCAUGGAAGAGAUUUGAAGAUACCUGCAUUUCCCUAGGCACUCUCUCCUUUCCGUCUCCUCUGUUGGAGUGCUGGACCUGCCUGCAGUCACCAGGAGGCGCCGUGCUGUGAGGCGCAGAAGCUGUGCCCAUUUGCCCCCAGCUGCCAACUACAAAGGGGGGCCCAAGCUGCAGCCAAGAAAAGGCAGCCAAAUGGGAGUACUGCAUCACAGCCUCCAUCAUCCCCAGCCCUCACCACCUCCACCUUCAUGCUCCAUUUCCCAUGACUCCAGACCAAGGGACAUCUGUUUCAACACCAUGGGAUCACCCACCACUGACUGAACCUCAGCUUUCACCUCUUCAAGCUCCUGCCCUCCAACAAAAAGGCACAAUCUGAUCUACCAAGGCAGAGGCCCUGCAUGCAGUGAAAUGUCGGGGCUUUGGGAAAUGUUCAUAGCCAUUUCAAAGCCCCGAAAGGGGGGAAAAUGUGAUCGAGGUGACCUCCCCUCCAGGACUUUGUAAAAGAUAGUUCAAAAAUCAAGACUUUAUGUUCUAUAUUCCAUAUAUUUAUAGUAGAAGGUGAUUGAGACUUUUUACUGGAGUUUACUGUGGAUUAUCCCUGCAUUCUGAGGCAAGAGAUAACAACUUCAUGAAUUGUAAAAUCAUGCUGCUAAAACUCCACUUCUAUGACUUUCCAUAUUGGGUUCCCCAGAUGUUGUAAACCUCGUUCUUAUCAAAUGUUUUCAAUUGUUUAUAUCAUCCAUGAUUCCCCUUUAUGCAAUGUCACCCACCUUUAUGGAUUCUCCUUUAUUUCCUUGAAAUCUAUCUAUCUGCCUAUA